rnacentral:lncRNA from 1 species
GGAGUUUAUUUUUAACACUUUAUUGCAAAUAUAUAAAGGGUUGUUUUGUUGGCAUAAUAGAUGUACAUAUCUAUGCUAUAUUAUAAACAUAACCGAUGACAUUUAUUAUCUGCUUAUUCAUCAUCAUGGCAACACUGUUGAAGAAGAUAUCAUCUAAUAUACAAUUACCUCAACAUCAACACUUCAUGAUCAAGAACAGCAGAUAAAAGCUUGAAGAAGCCAUUGAAAUACUCUGUUUUUUUUGUUUCUUGAAGAACAAGAGUGUGAAAUGUGAAACAAGAACACAAAAACAGAAUCUUUAACAACUAGAAGACAAGAUUCAAGCCAAGAUCAAAACAGAGAAAUAUUAAGCUCUGUUUUCCCCUGUUUCAUGUGAAAUCAAGAUUGAAACUUUUUCUAGAUAAAUUGAGUUAAUUGAUGGUAAACCAACAAGAUAAACAUAAACAAGAACACAUGAACACAAAAACAGAAUCUUUAACAACUAAAAGUCAAGAUUCAACCCUUAAAGAUCAAAAACAGACAAAUGUUAAGCUCUGUCUUCC